rnacentral:rRNA from 1 species
AGCGAACGCUAGCGGCGGGCCUAACACAUGCAAGUCGAGCGGGGAGCAAUCCCAGCGGCGAACGGGUGAGUAACACGUAGGUAAUGUGCCUUUUGGUGGGGAAUAACCGUGGGAAACCAUGGCUAAUACCGCAUAUCGUGCUUCGGCAUGAAAGCUUCUGAGGCAACUCGGGGGCGCCAGUUGAGCAGCCUGCGUCCCAUUAUUUAGUCCUAGUUGGUAGGGUAAUGGCCUACCAAGGGUACGAGUGGGUACGCGUGGUCUGAGAGGAUGAUCA